UUCCAGACAAACUCUUUCUACUAGGCUACUGAGUCAGCUUAUCUCCCAGCACUUUUCAAGCACAUUAAUUGAGCAGCUUUUAGAACUAUGCCAAAAUUUCAGAAAUGUCGUCCUAGCUGGAUGUGCCUGCAACUUCUGCCUUGGACUUGCUCUACUGCUGUUAACAGGUCAGUAGCACAGAUUUUGAGCAAUUUCUGCUAGCUAAUAAAGCCAACUAUGAAACUGCAAUUUGCACUGUAACUGUCAAUCUGUUUCCCUCUGACAUCUCUAUCUCUGAUUUGUUUAGCCUAAUUGUCUUUAAAAGUUACUACAAUACUGAAAGUGAAUGUGAAGACCUAACGUCUUAUGUAGGCAUAGUGCUGCUUGGCUGUAGGAGGUCCUAUCCUGAGAGAAUCUUUGUGGUGAAUGAUGUUUGCUUCCAGUGCAGUAAUAAUGUGUUGUUGCUGUGAUACCAAUAAACUCCCUUCCCUCUUCUCCAUCUCUUAACUGAGACUAUAGGCAUCUCCACAGCUCCCUAAAGAGAAGGGAGUACUGUAAUGAAGAGAAGCUCUUUCUUUCACAGGCUCCUUGGAGCAUCACACUCCUCGCAGCAGUGCUGGGCUCAUUUGCUGUGUUCAGAUAUUAUCUGGAAUGGGAAGAGCUGUGUGGCAGCUGGGCCUCCGGCUGUGUAUUACUGCUGUGCUG
rnacentral:lncRNA from 1 species